rnacentral:rRNA from 1 species
UCGACGAGAACACCAAAAAAACCUAAUUCAGCUCUACGUAAGAUAGCAAAAGUACGGUUGAGCAAUCGACAUGAUAUAUUUGCUCACAUUCCAGGUGAAGGUCAUAAUUCACAGGAACAUUCUAUAGUCUUAGUCAGAGGAGGUAGAGUGAAAGAUUCGCCAGGUGUGAAAUCCCAUCGUAUUCGAGGAGUCAAGGAUUUGCUGGGAAUUCCGGAUCGUAGAAAGGGGAGACUCCACAACAUGCGGAUUUGCCAGCGUGGACUCCAACUAUUGAACUGGAUCAUCCAGGAGCUCAGCAUAUUUACCCAGGUAGGUGGAGCUGAGGAGUGGUGA